rnacentral:rRNA from 1 species
UACGGAGGGUGCGAGCGUUGUUCGGAAUCACUGGGCGUAAAGGGCGUGUAGGCGGUCCGCUAAGUCUGAUGUGAAAGCCCGGGGCUCACCCCCGGAAGGGCAUUGGAAACUGACGGACUCGAGUCCCGAAGAGGAGGGUGGAAUUCCUGGUGUAGCGGUGAAAUGCGUAGAUAUCAGGAGGAACACCGGUGGCGAAGGCGGCCCUCUGGACGGUGACUGACGCUGAGGCGCGAAAGCCAGGGGAGCAAACGGG